CGAGAUAAUUAUACGGUCGCGGGACCCGAAAGGGUCAUGAGGAAAGUCCGAGCACCACAGAGCGGGAUGCCUGCUAACGGCAGGUGGAGGCGACUCUAAGGAAAGUGCAACAGAAAGAUACCGCAUUCUUCGGAAUGUAAGGGUGGAACGGCGAGGUAAGAGCUCACCGACCCUGCGGUGACGCGGGGUGCCAUGUAAACCCCAUCCGGUGCAAGAUUGGGAAUCGGUCGUAUAGGGCGGCUCGUCCGAUCGAUUCCGUGAACAUCGCUUGAGCCUAUCGGCAACGAUAGGACUAGAUAAAUGACCGUACACGACAGAACUCGGCUUACAGAUUAUCUCGAACG
rnacentral:RNase_P_RNA from 1 species